rnacentral:lncRNA from 7 species
GAAAUCAGUGCAGGAGGUGUAAUUGGUGCUGCAAUAGAGGGCCCUGAGCUUUGGGUUUUGCUGGCCUGCUGGCUGCUCCUGAGGCAGCAAGGAGCUCGCUACUGCUGAGCAGGAGACGUGCACUGCUUCCCUGCAGGCUGCACCUGUGAACAUGGGAGUGCAACUCAGUAAGGAGCCCUUCAUUGUGGUUUACAAAAAAACCUCCAAGAGGGUGCAGAAAGAAGUUCCAGAGGCUGCUGCGACACAUCCUUCAAAGUCUGAGGACUUCCAGGAUGCUGCCAAAGAGCCGGCCAAGGGAACCAGUCAGCACUGCCAGGCUUCUCCAGAUGAGAGAACAAGACUGUGAAAGUGAUCAAGAGCAAAUCCUCUGUGCAGGAGGGAUGGGGAGGAAACUGCUUAUAAGAACUGCCCUUCUGUACAUUGCAUCAUGGACUGGUUAAUGGCCAACGGCAGGUAUUCAUGGCUUUAAUUGGAAAUGGCCUUACUCGGAGAUGGACAUCUUUCCCUUGUGCUGGUAUCCCAUGCCUUGAGACACCUACUCCUAGCAGAUGCAUAUCUUAACCAGACCAACUCUGGUCCAUGUAUAUAUGAAAUUGUUACCCUGCUAGAAGCUGUCUGUUAUGAUCUGGAGACAUACUGAGUUUAAAAUGAGUACCUCACGUGCAGUAUUACAUAGCAUCAAUGAGGUUCCUGAAUGCAUUGAGCCCUGUGCUACCAAGACUUGUUCAAGACAGAUAGUUCUACUGGUCUCGCAACUUUAACACAAAUGAAGUUGUUUGAAAGAUGCAGUGUCAGUAUAAUGAAGACAAAUGCAGGAACUGGAGAAGCCUGAGCUCUGUAAGGGGUGUUCUGUAACCUGAGUGUUUAUAACCUGGACGUCAUCCAAUUAUCAUUGAAGCAAUUAUUUUGGUAAUGCUCUAACUAGACUUGAGGGAUCCCUUUGGAUUAAGAGUUGUGCUGGGGCAAUAAGUCCUCAUCCUAAAAGCAGAGGUAGUGUAGCUCUCCUGCAGUUACUGUGCUCUGAGGCUGCAGUGACAGAACAAAGUCCUUGGCCAUAACUGUAAUAAGGUGGAAAUGCCUUGCUCUCUAAUUGAGGUUCAGCCUGUUUUGAAUUUCACACUUGAAAAGGAAACUGAGAUGUUUGCAACAUGAUUCUUCAAAGCAUUUCUAAACGUGUGCUCUCUCCCCUCUGAAGUUUCACUUGGGUUGAAAGCAGCUUCAUUAUUUUUUCAUCUUCUCUCACUUAUGAUGCUGUUGUCUCAAGCUGUUUGAUCUAUCUUUCUUUUUGCUAACCCCAUUUCUACUCAGUCCAGUACAGAUUAAGGUGGGGGGAUGUGCUUUAAGGUCUCUGGAGCAAAAAACAUCUUUUUCACAUCGUGUUUAUGGUCUGAAGACAUGGUCACCUUUUACUGCUGCCUUUUUCCUUCAGUCAGUGUAGGCUUCCAAGCAUGUGGUGCUCAAUGUGAGUUAUAGCCACACUCAGCUGUCCUGCAUGCCUGUACGGAAUGCUUCUCUUCUAGAGUGCAUUGCUAUAAUGAGGAAUAUAGAUAGCAUAACAAAACCAGGGCAGUUCUCUAGAUGAUAGGAUUUAUUACCUGCUAGCUCAGUCUUAAGUGAGCUCGUUUUGCUUACCUGUGUUGAUAUGAACUACAUUUGAUAUAAAAUGCAGAAUCCUGUUCCCUAUUAUCAUGAAUAGAUAGCUCAAGUGCUAAGUUAAUGACAGGCAGACAGGUCAAGCCCAGGCCAAGGUUAGCAGUGGGACUUGAUGAGCAGCUACAAAGAAAGAAAUAGCUCCAUUUCUUUGGCAGGCUCUGGGAUGCUACGGUAUUAAUUUCAGUACACUAGGUGACUGGGACCUGCUUGGGGAUAUCAAAUCCAUCUGUAGCUGUAAGGUGCUGUUGUAGCAGAUCUGCUUUCAGGUGGUAGCAAGCCUGUAUUUUACCAGGUCUUGACAGUGGGCAAAGCAGAGUAUAAAUACUUCUCAGCCAGUAAGCUGGGCUGUGCACCUCUUGUUCCCUAUGGCCAGCUGUGGAACAACUUUGGUUUUGUAGCUGUAAGAGCAGAGUGGGCCUGUGAGUGCUCUGACACGUGCAUGCAUGCCUUCAAAGUUGGUCUGUCGAGUCAAAUAAGUAAGCUUUUGCAAGAGAAGUGUAACAGCCUGUCAGAUAGUAUGUCUGCAUGCUUUUCUUCUAAUGCUGUAAAUGCAAAAGUACCCACAGAGGCUAACACAAAAUAAGGCUUCUCAUCUGUUUCUUUUCCUUUUCCUGUUCUAAUGUGCUUUGUCAAGAGUCAUAAACCAACGUUAUUCAAAUAAAAUGUUACAAGC